UGAAAGACAUGGGUAGUGAGACGUUAGAAAUUGAAUGUCGUAUCACUAUUCUGUUUUUC
rnacentral:pre_miRNA from 11 species